UUAAGCAUAUCAAUAAGCGGAGGAAAAGAAACCAACAGGGAUUGCCUCAGUAACGGCGAGUGAAGCGGCAACAGCUCAAAUUUGAAAUCUGGCCUCUCGGGGUCCGAGUUGUAAUUUGUAGAGGAUGUUUCGGGUACCGCCUCGGUUUAAAUUUCUUGGAACAGAAUGUCAAAGAGGGUGAGAAUCCCGUCUUGGACCGGCGGUAGGGCCUAUGUGAAACUCCUUCGACGAGUCGAGUUGUUUGGGAAUGCAGCUCAAAAUGGGUGGUAAAUUUCAUCUAAAGCUAAAUAUUGGCCAGAGACCGAUAGCGCACAAGUAGAGUGAUCGAAAGAUGAAAAGCACUUUGAAAAGAGAGUUAAACAGUAUGUGAAAUUGUUGAAAGGGAAGCGCUUGCAACCAGACUUGAGCGCGGCGGUUCCCCCUUGCUUCUGCUUGGGUUACUCCGCCGUGUCCAGGCCAACAUCGGUUCUGGGGGUCGGUCAAAGGCCUUGGGAAUGUAUCUACCCACGGGUAGACUUAUAGACCAGGGUGUCAUGCGACCUCCCGGGACCGAGGAACGCGCUUCGGCUCGGAUGUUGGCGUAAUGGUUGUCAGCGACCCGUCUUGAAACACGGACCAAGGAGUCUAACAUCUAUGCGAGUGUUUGGGUGUCAAACCCGGAACGCGGAAUGAAAGUGAACGGAGGUAGGAAGCUUCGGCUGCACUAUCGACCGAUCCUGAAGUUUACGGAUGGAUUUGAGUAAGAGCAUAGCUGUUGGGACCCGAAAGAUGGUGAACUAUGCCUGAAUAGGGUGAAGCCAGAGGAAACUCUGGUGGAGGCUCGCAGCGGUUCUGACGUGCAAAUCGAUCGUCAAAUUUGGGUAUAGGGGCGAAAGACUAAUCGAACCAUCUGGUAGCUGGUUCCUGCCGAA
rnacentral:rRNA from 1 species